rnacentral:rRNA from 1 species
AACGAACGCUGGCGGCAUGCCUAACACAUGCAAGUCGAACGAAGGCUUCGGCCUUAGUGGCGCACGGGUGCGUAACGCGUGGGAAUCUGCCCCUCGGUUCGGAAUAACAGUUAGAAAUGACUGCUAAUACCGGAUGAUGACUUCGGUCCAAAGAUUUAUCGCCGAGGGAUGAGCCCGCGUAAGAUUAGGUAGUUGGUGGGGUAAAGGCCUACCAAGCCGACGAUCUUUAGCUGGUCUGAGAGGAUGAUCAGCCACACUGGGACUGAGACACGGCCCAGACCCCUACGGGAGGCAGCCGUGGUGAAUAUUGGAAAAUGGGCGAAAGCCUGAUCCAGCAAUGCCGCGUGAGUGAUGAAGGCCUUAGGGUUGUAAAGCUCUUUUACCAGGGAUGAUAAUGACAGUACCUGGAGAAUAAGCUCCGGCUAACUCCGUGCCAGCCGCCGCGGUAA